UAUAUCUAGGGAAUACUUCCUUGUUUUGCAAGAAACAAGUAAAAAUACUAUAAUGAACAGAAUGUGAGAUGCUAAUACAUAGUCAUAACUAUAGUUGCUCUUAGAAGAACUUGACUGAGGUUCUGGAAAAGAGGAAGAGAAAGCCGUACUAGACUUUGCUCCCUCAUGACUUCCUUGUGGUGACUUUUACUGUUUAAAGCAGAUAGCUAUGCUAAUCCUGAUAUGGGUGUAGCUGCAGCUGCAACACAAGAACAAGCUUCCUCUUGUAAUGUAGCCUGGUCUGAGGAGAAUCUAGCUUUAAUAUAUUCUGGCCUGCUAGGAGGCUGGGUGCUAGAAACUUUACAUGCGCAAACUUGUGCAGCCAUAGGAAGAACAGCUGGUGGAAAGCCGUGGCAGCGACUUGUGUUUCGAAUAGAGAAUAGCUAACAUGAAGGACUCUAUGACUUUUGAGGAACAGGUGGAACAGAUUGCAGAAGCAUUGCUUGCUGACUUCCCGGGGCAAAAAUCAAAAACAGAAUUUCGUGUCCUACAGUACCAGGGUGCAAGUUUUGAAGGCCCACCUCCUUCCCUGCUUGCCCGUGCUACCAGUGAGACAAGAGAUGAAGCCCUGCAACGUCAAAGUCUGAUCUUACCUCAAAGUCAGAGCUUUCAGGGUGGAGGUAGCGCUGCAAGCCCUUUUGACCCAGUUCCUAUUGCCAAUACACUGAGACGCCUAGGAGAUCAGUUUAAUGCAGACUUGGAGAGACCAGCACAGGAGGUCAUAGAGGCAGAGGGAAGGAAAUUCAAAGAAAAUGUCGAGGCUCUCAGCAAGACCUGGACAAUUCAGAAUCCUGAGCUGGCAUAUGAAAAAGCUUUCCUAGUUGUCGCUGUAAAGUUGUUUCGAUACAUUGCAAAGAAAGCUCAUGCUGUAGCCCAGCCGCGCUUACUCACAGAGGCAAUCAACGCAGCUCCGGAAGUGAGACACUAUAUUGAAAGGCAAGGUGGCUGGAAUUGCCAUACAUCCUGGGAUGGAGCAAGCUGUGUUUAGACCAAAGCAUUCUGUUCUGAAUCAGGAAUGGAUCUGCUCAUUUUGUCUGCAUGCCCAAAGGGCCGGAUUUAGGUUUGAUGAGGUCCUAAGCUACUGAAGGAGAACCUUGAAAACAGAAGAGGACAAAAUAAUCCCUAAUAUAUCACUUUUAAUAAAAUAUGCCUAGCUCUGCUUUGCUACUCUAAGAGAAAUGGAGCUGGAAAACUUUCCUGCACUAGAAUUGCACUCGACCUGCCUUUAUUUUGUUUUGUUUUAAUUUAAAUCACCAAAUAAAAUAAAAUGAUGAUAUCUA